UACGAAGGGGGCUAGCGUUGCUCGGAAUUACUGGGCGUAAAGCGCGUGUAGGCGGUUGCCAAAGUCGGGUGUGAAAGCCUUGAGCUCAACUCAAGAAUUGCACUCGAUACUUGGUGACUAGAGGACCGGAGAGGAUAGUGGAAUUCCCAGUGUAGUGGUGAAAUACGUAGAGAUUGGGAAGAACACCAGUGGCGAAGGCGGCUAUCUGGACGGUUUCUGACGCUAAGACGCGAAAGCGUGGGGAGCAAACAGG
rnacentral:rRNA from 1 species